GUCUACGGCCAUACCACCCUGAAUGUGCCUGAUCUCGUCUGAUCUCGGAAGCUAAGCAGGGUCGGGCCCGGUUAGUACUUGGAGGGGAAAAAAUCCCAUUUUCAAUAGCAU
ensembl:rRNA 5S_rRNA 5S ribosomal RNA